UGUAAGCGUAUACCAAAGUUGUUGCAGUUAAAACGCUCGUAGUCGGACUUUGGCAGUUCCGGAUGUGUGCACGUCGUGUGCGCACUUCGCGGGGAUUGCUUUUGUGGUCUUGCGUAGGAUGAGGCACUUUUAUUAGUGAACGUCCUCACGCAACCACUUUUUACUGUGAGAAAAUCAGAGUGCUCAAAGCAGGCAUUUGCCGUGAAUGUAUUAGCAUGGAAUAAUAGAAUAGGAAUUGGUUCUAUUUUGUUGGUUUGUUGGGACUGAGUAAUGAUUAAGAGGGACAGUUGGGGGCAUUUGUAUUUCGGUGCUAGAGGUGAAAUUCUUAGAUUACCGAAAGACAAACUGCUGCGAAAGCGUCUGCCAAGGAUGUUUUCAUUGA
rnacentral:rRNA from 1 species